rnacentral:rRNA from 1 species
GACCGACCAACGCCGCGUGAGUGAUUAAGGCCUUCGGGUUGUAAAGCUCUGUUGUCAGGGAAGAACAUGCAGGAUAGGAAAUGAUCUUGAACUGACGGUACCUUACCAGAAAGCCACGGCUAACUACGUGCCAGCAGCCGCGGUAAUACGUAGGUGGCAAGCGUUAUCCGGAAUUAUUGGGCGUAAAGGGUGCGUAGGCGGUUUAUUAAGUCUAUGGUGAAAGUGCGGGGCUCAACCCCGUAUGGCCAUAGAAACUGGUAGACUUGAGUGCAGGAGAGGGCAAUGGAAUUCCAUGUGUACCGGUAAAAUGCGUAGAUAUAUGGAGGAACACCAGUGGCGAAGGCGGUUGCCUGGCCUGUAACUGACGCUGAAGCACGAAAGCGUGGGGAGCAAAUAGGAUUAGAUACCCUAGUAGUCCACGCCGUACACGAUGAAUACUAAGUGUCGGAGAAAUUCAGUGCUGCAGUUGACGCAAUAAGUAUUCCGCCUGGGGAGUAUGCACGCAAGUGUGAAACUCAAA